rnacentral:rRNA from 1 species
GGCAAGGUUAACCCGUCGAGGGGAAGCCGUAGCGAAAGCGAGUCUGAAUAGGGCGCCAUAGUCGCAUGAUCUAAACCCGAAGCGAGGUGAUCUAGCCAUGGUCAGGUUGAAGCGUGGGUAAGACUGCGUGGAGGACCGAACCCACAAACGUUGAAAAGUUUGGGGAUGAACUGUGGUUAGGGGUGAAAGGCCAAUCAAACUUCGUGAUAGCUGGUUCUCUCCGAAAUGCAUUUAGGUGCAGCGUUACGUGUUUCUUACUGGAGGUAGAGCUACUGGAUGGCCGAGGGGACCUACAAGUUUACCAACGUCAGCCAAACUCCGAAUGCCAGUAAGUGAGAACGUAGCAGUGAGACAGUGGGGGAUAAGCUUCAUUGUCGAGAGGGAAACAACCCAGAACAGCAACUAAGGUCCCAAAGCGUGUGCUAAGUGGAAAAGGAUGUGAAGUCGCAUAGACAACCAGGAUGUUGGCUUAGAAGCAGCCACCAUUAAAAGAGUGCGUAAUAGCUCACUGGUCAAGUGAUUUCGCGCCGACAAUGUAACGGGGCUCAAGCACAGCACCGAAGUUCUAUCAUUCAAGCACUAUCCCGGUCGCAAGAUCCAGGAGCUUGGAUGGGUAGGAGAGCGUUGUGUGACUGGUGAAGCGGCAGAGGAAUCUAGCCGUGGAAGUCACACAAGUGAGAAUGUAGACAUGAGUAGCGAGAGAGGGGUGAGAAACCCCUCCGCCGAAAGACCAAGGGUUCCUGGGCCAGGCUAAUCCGCCCAGGGUAAGUCGGGACCUAAGGCGAGGCCGUCAGGCGUAGUCGAUGGACAACUGGUUGAUAUUCCAGUACCCGCUUUAAUUCGCCCAUAACGAAUCCACUAAUGCUAAGAGUCUGAAUCCUGUUCGGCGUAAGCCGCGUGGGUGGAUGGCUCGAACCGGUGUGGUAGUAGUUAAGCAAUGGUGUGACACAGGAAGGCAGUCCAGCCCGGGCGAUGGUUGUCCCGGGGUAAGGCUGUAGGGGGUGUUGUAGGUAAAUCCGCAACACACAUACCCUGAGAGCUGAUGCCGAGCCGUAAGGCGAAGUGGAUGAUCCUAUGCUGUCAAGAAAAGCAUCUAGCGAGAUUUAAAGCGGCCCGUACCCGAAACCGACACAGGUGGUCAGGUAGAGAAUACCAAGGCGAUCGAGAGAAUCGUGGUGAAGGAACUCGGCAAAUUACCCCCGUAACUUCGGGAUAAGGGGGGCCAAAUUACGUGUAGGGAUUUACUCCCGAAGCGUGAGUUGGCCGCAGAGACUAGGCUCAAGCGACUGUUUACCAAAAACACAGGUCCGUGCGAAGUUGCAAAACGAUGUAUACGGACUGACGCCUGCCCGGUGCUGGAAGGUUAAGGGGACUGGUUAGCCGCAAGGCGAAGCUGAGAACUUAAGCCCCAGUAAACGGCGGUGGUAACUAUAACCAUCCUAAGGUAGCGAAAUUCCUUGUCGGGUAAGUUCCGACCUGCACGAAUGGCGUAACGACUUGAGCGCUGUCUCCACCAUGAACUCGGCGAAAUUGCAUUACGAGUAAAGAUGCUCGUUACGCGCAGCAGGACGGAAAGACCCCGGGACCUUUACUAUAUCUUGAUAUUGGCACUCGGAACGGUUUGUGUAGCAUAGGUGGGAGACUUUGAAGCGGCACGCCAGUGUUCGUGGAGUCAUCGUUGAAAUACCACUCUAAUCGUUUUGAGUUUCUAACCUCGGUCCAUGAUCUGGAUCAGGGACAGUGUCUGGUGGGUAGUUUGACUGGGGCGGUCGCCUCCCAAAAAGUAACGGAGGCGCUCAAAGGUUCCCUCAAUCUGGUUGGCAAUCAGAUGUCGAGUGUAAGUGCACAAGGGAGCUUAACUGUGAGACAGACAUGUCGAGCAGG